CGGGGUGUAGCGCAGUCUGGUAGCGCACUUGUCUGGGGGACAAGUGGUCGCUGGUUCAAAUCCAGCCACUCCGACCA
rnacentral:tRNA from 1 species